rnacentral:tRNA from 1 species
UGGGGUGUAGCUCAGUGGUAGAGUACUUGCCUUGCACACAAGACCCUGGGUUCUAUCCCUAGCCCAG